rnacentral:snoRNA from 1 species
UCGACUAUACUAAUACAGGAUCUGUAUUUCAGUUGAUACACCUUAUCUGUUUUCUUCAAAACAGACAAGCUCCUCAAGUCUGAUGCUGUGUUGUAGGGUCCUUGCUUGAGCGCGAGAAACUGCUCUGGCCGACGGUGCCGCUUGGCACUGCGCCACAGUUCGACGAACGCAGGAGCGGACGCCAGUCCCUCCUGAGCAUGGACCCAUUCUGAGGACU